GGGUUCUACCGUUGGUCGGGCUAACCAGUCUGUACUAGCGUGUAAAAUUCCUACCUUCUGGAGAACCAUCAUGUUAUUAAUUUAGCGUGGUGGGAAACCAGGACCUUUACCUUGAAAAAAUUAGAGUGUUCAAAGCAGGCUUACGUCUGAAUACAUUAGCAUGGAAUAAUAGAAUAGGACGGUGGUCCUGUUUUGUUGGUUUCUGAAUCACCGUAAUGAUUAAUA
rnacentral:rRNA from 1 species